rnacentral:lncRNA from 1 species
AAUGCGAGAAGAUUCUAGAAAUGAUUCCCGAUGAAUGUACUAAAACCUCACACAAUUUCUUUCCCUAUAUGGCCAAGCAUUAUUCCAUUAUAUCUAAAUUUAUGUGUCCACUGCUGGAUUUGCAGCUGUUGCUGCGGAGCUUCGAGGUAGGUGGCAGAACAGUAAAAGGUCAUCUGGUUUGAGAGAUGACAUUAACAUUUUACGAUGGGAGCAGCUAAAGCACACUCUACAAUCUGGAAGACACAAGGUACCGAGAUGACAUUAACGCUGUACGAUGGGAGCAGCUAAAGCACACUCUACAAUCUGGAAGACACAAGGUACAGAACGCCGAUUUUCGUCUCUUAUUACCCUAUUUGUGUAGGAAUGUGACCAUUAUUUAUGCAUUAUAACCUGAUCACACAACAACUGAUGGUGCAUUCAUUCAUCUAAGUGCACUUAACUGGAACUGAACAUAUUAUUUCCAGGCAC